rnacentral:rRNA from 1 species
GAUGAACGCUGGUGGCGUGCCUAAUACAUGCAAGUCGAGCGAACAGAUGAGGAGCUUGCUCCUCUGACGUUAGCGGCGGACGGGUGAGUAACACGUGGAUAACCUACCUAUAAGACUGGGAUAACUUCGGGAAACCGGAGCUAAUAACGGAUAAUAUAUUGAACCGCAUGGUUCAAUAGUGAAAGACGGUUUUGCUGUCACUUAUAGAUGGAUCCGCGCCGCAUUAGCUAGUUGGUAAGGUAACGGCUUACCAAGGCAACGAUGCGUAGCCGACCUGAGAGGGUGAUCGGCCACACUGGAACUGAGACACGGUCCAGACUCCUACGGGAGGCAGCAGUAGGGAAUCUUCCGCAAUGGGCGAAAGCCUGACGGAGCAACGCCGCGUGAGUGAUGAAGGUCUUCGGAUCGUAAAACUCUGUUAUUAGGGAAGAACAAAUGUGUAAGUAACUAUGCACGUCUUGACGGUACCUAAUCAGAAAGCCACGGCUAACUACGUG